CUUCCAACCAUUCACCAAAAACAGUACUUCCAAGAAAUUCUGCAUCUAGACUUUUGUUUCUAAGUGAUUAUGCAUCAUUCACAGUGCUUGAGUGAACAAGAUAACUUUCACCUAGAGAGAUGUCUGGCAACCCAUUGACAACAAUGGCAAGUUCCAGGCAAUGAUUCUGAUUCUGGCUCUUUGCUUCUGCCAUCCAUUUCCAGUUCCCUUUCUGUUAAACAGCCUGUAAAAGGAGCUAACAAUGUGAAAAUGUAAGGUCUAUUAAAUGAUCCUUUAACUAGUAAAUUCAACAGCUGGUAGCUUUAGACCAUGAGCAAUAAUUACAAUCAUACAUCAAAGAAGUUAAAAAGAGAAUGACUGAUUGAUUGUAAGGCGCAUAAAAUGAGGAUAACGAAUACAUAGUAUCAAGCAUGCUCUCUCUUAAAUGUCAGCCAGUCAAACUAGAGUUAUUGAUGGAUUGCCAAAAACCCAAAGUCCAUUAGUAAGCAUUUUCCAAUGCUGUAGGUAUAGUAGAUUAAUUAUUGAAAAUGAGUUGACAAAGCCUUUGACAGAAGCAUCCUUUAAUGCAGAUAAGGCACACAGUAAUGUGUUUGACAAAGCUGAACUACAACAAUUAAACAUAAAAGUUCUCCAAAACCAACUACUUUGUAAAAGGUCGCACAAUGACCACCAAAAAAUUAUCGAUGUCAAAGGUUCAAGUUUCCACAUUUCUACAACCUGCAUAAAUUAACAUGGGUGACCAACCUCUAAUUACCAUUUUUGUUGCAGACUCCGCCAAUAUUACAUCCUAGCUAUUCAAGUUCAAAAGGUGAAAGUUCAAUGAGUACCACUAAGAACUCAUAACUGAGACAAAUAACUAACAAAAAGGAAAAGAAAACACAUCAUCAGUCAACACAUUCAAAAAAUGUGCCACGUACAUUGAUUCAAAUUUAUGGAGUUCAAAGAAAUUCACUCUCCCAACCUUUGUCACUCUUAUCUAUCCUAACAUUAAGAAACUUCAAAUCCUUAGUAAAUCCUAAAAUGCAGAUGUUCUUAAUCAGUCCUCCCAGCCGUUCUCAAAUUGACAAAAAGUGCUAUUAGAUUCUUGGAACUCAUUGAGCUUUCGCAACUGAACAGGCUAUAUAGCCUGUUAAUACUGAACCUUUCUCUGCUUCUUCAUUCUCCAUAUUCUGCAUUCAUUUUGGAAAAUGAUGCAUUCAUUCCAAAGGAACACAUUGCAGAUGGCUAAUCUGCUAUAAAGCCUGAAGCAGUAAUCAAGCUACAAGUCAAAGAUGACAAAGAAAGGCCUAUAGGCACCAAAAUAGUCCAAUCAAUGGAAAGGAGAGAAGAAAAGUAAAUGCUGUAUGCUAAACCUAAUUAUAAUUACAAUGAGCAUGGAGAAACAACAACAAAAUCUCAACAGAGUGUUCAAAUACCAGCAGCUGAGACUAUACAUCAAUUCCCCAAAUUCUACAAAUUUCAAUAGCAAGCCGGCCAGGAUUUAAGUUAAAUAAGAUGAUCUCAACAAUCAUCCCCAGAUUGAUUUCUCUAGAGGAGAUAUGGCCCACUGAAAUUCUGUCUGCUAGUUCCCAAUAAGAUUAUUUUGAUUUUCAACCACAAGAUUUCGCAAACAAGAUUAUUUUGGAUUCACAUGGUUGCUACAGAACAUGCACUUGAAAUCAGUUACCUAAAUCCAUUUAAUUUGAUUAUCCUUGCUAGAGAAGAUCCAUGCCUAAUACUAGGAAACAAUUUGAGCUCCAAAACAACCUAUACUAGCCAACUUUGAUGUAAAGCAUAAAGUGCAAGAAGAUUAUCCUUGCUAGAGAAGAUCCAUGCCUAAUACUAGGAAACAAUUUGAGCUCCAAAACAACCUAUACUAGCCAACUUUGAUGUAAAGCAUAAAGUGCAAGAA
rnacentral:misc_RNA from 1 species